rnacentral:rRNA from 1 species
GACAGAGGUGCCAAGCGUUGUCCGGAAUUAUUGGGCGUAAAGAGCGUGUAGGCGGCCAGAUAGGUCAGCUGUGAAAACUCGAGGCUCAACCUCGAGACGUCGGUUGAAACCAUCUGGCUAGAGUCCGGAAGAGGAGAGUGGAAUUCCCGGUGUAGCGGUGAAAUGCGCAGAUAUCGGGAAGAACACCCGUGGCGAAGGCGGCUCUCUGGGACGGUACUGACGCUGAGACGCGAAAGCGUGGGGAGCGAACAGG